GGCGGCAGAUUGUAGUUUUUGUUUUGGCCGGAAAGGCUUACCAUGAAUUGCCAGGGCUGAGAGAGAUGGAGAAGGAUUCGCGGCGGUGACAGAUUAAAUUCCACAGUUACAUUAUAGACUUGGAAACUUGUCCUUGUGUGAACGGGAGCCGGAAAGCCUUGAGAACUUAUUCCUCGACCCGGACAUGGCACAUGAGAAAAUGAAACUAGGUUUCAAGUCGCUGCCGAGUUCCACUACCGCAGACGGCAACAUUCUGAGAAGAGUCAACAGUGCCCCUUUGAUCAAUGGACUUGGAUCUUACUUCUUAAACUAGACUUUUAAAAUGAAAUGUUGGAUUUCACAUUUCAGUAUUAUAAGGUUUUCUAGAUACCGUAAAAAUGUCUG
rnacentral:sRNA from 1 species